AAACAGUAAAACCUGGAGAAGAUGUAAUUAUAGAGUGUAACCUCAGCGGGGUCAAAGUAAAAAAUAAUUUAGUUUGGUACAGACAGAGAUUGGACGACGUGCCUCUGGUUUUCGCAAGACAGUACGGGCAAAAUAAUUACACAUUUGUUGAUGGAUUUAAUGAUAAACGCUUCAGUGUUACUGUAAAUGACCAAACGUUUGAUCUCAACAUUAAUAAAAUAAUAAAGGAUGAUGAAGGAGAAUAUUUCUGUGGAGAACUGGAUGGAAGUUCACUAAAGUUCACAUCUGGAACACGUCUGCAGUUUGAAGGUAAAGUGAUGAAACCCUGUCCUACACCUGGAACACUUAACAAGAACACACACUCUGUUACACACCAGGGUUCAAACAGCAGAGAUGGAGAAGAUUGUGGCUCUGUUCAGGUGGCGUUCCUGUCCUUGCUCUCUAUUAUUAGAGUUGUUCUUGUCUCUGUUAUUUUUCCAAUAAUCCUGAUUUGUUUCAAAUUAAGAUUAAAAUAGGAAUUAAAAUACAAAUGCAAUAAAUUAAUAACUAUUUUGUUUAUAUUAUUCCAUAUGCAAUAUGUCAUUUAAAAUAUGAUACAGUUAAACAUUUAAUGAUGAUCCUGUAUGGCUUUAAUCCAUUGCGUUUCUUUUUACUCCCACUGGUUUGCUUAAAUAUUUAAAGAACAAUCAUACAUACAACAAAGUUCAACCAAAAUUAAUCAAAGGCUUAUAAUAACAAUAAUCUCUGUGCUUGAUAAGUCUCCUUCCAAAGAUAUGCAGAUUAGGCUGAUUGGCGUCAACAAAUUCACUCGUAGUGUGUGUAUGAGUGUGUGAGCACUGACCGGAGUUUGUACCAUGGUUGUAAAAAUUGGAAUAAAUUCCACAUUCACCAUUGAUCUCCACGGCUCAGAGUUCUACUACAGAGGUUCCUUGAUGCUUAAAUUAUUAUUAUUAUUGUUGUUUGGUUUUAAUGUUCAAUCGCCAUUAAGAUUUUAACAUUCAAUCGAGAUUCUAUAACUUUCAGAAAACAUACAGUACUUGACACGAACAAACCAAAAAAUCUCCAAAACUCAAACACACACUCUUUAUGGUUAGGCACUGAUCGCAAACUGAAGGAACCAUCUACCAGAACACAGCUAGCAGCUUUUGAUACGUACUAACACCCACAUUAGCAUUUCCUACACCUGCUACUACAGCGAAACACAUGGAAGUUAACUCCUUUAUAACUAACGUCAGCUUUUCUUUAGGUAGAACGGGAAUGUUCAUGUUAGCUUGUGAUAUAGCAGCCUGUGUGUUAGCUGUUAGCUUUACCUGUGUGCUGUGUUUGGGUCAAUUU